AAGCAAUUUGCUCAUAGCCAUAGCUUUCUUGUGAAAGUAGGAUAUUAACCCAGGUGUCUUGGUGCUGGAGAACAGAACUGGCCAGAGUCCAUCCUGUCUCCCACCGGCAUCCCAUUACGAAAUGAACACAGAAAAGGCAGGUCUGCAAUGCCAACAUCUAGUAUCUAUCCCAAAGACCAGGGAGAAAGGAAGGAAAGAUUCUGGUUCUGUCCUCUUCCCCAAGGCAAGGCUGGCUGCCCUACCAACAGAGGCAAAGAGAAGAGUGUGCAAGGCUGGCUGCCCUCCCAACAGAGGCAAAGAGGAGUGUGUGUUGAAAUAUCCAUUGAAUCCCUGAGACAACUGGAUCCUGGCCCAUUGAAUCAUAAACUCAUUUCAGAGAAGAUGAAACUGAUGUGCGUCAAAAAGCUGGUAGUCUGUCAAGGAAAUGAGCUGAACAUGUCUGUGUACAGCUUUUGUGCCAUCCCUGGAUGAGCGAGCUGUCUGCCUCUAUGUUCUCCACAAAAUGGAAUAUAGCUGUACACCCAAGCCAAGUUAUGGAGGCUGGGAAGACCUAGAAUGUGGCAUCACUAUUUGCUGAAAUUUUUAAUAUAAUGCCUCUUAGCCUGGUUUGGAGAAAACGUCACAGAGAGGCACCAUUUGUUGUGGUUUUACAUGAAAAUUUUCUGACCCUGAACCUGGUUUGAUGGAAAUCAUUUGCUGAGGUUAUUUAGAAAAUUGUUACCUCAAAAAUGACCUAGGGGUCCUUAGAAUAAUAACACACAGAAGAAUAGCCUCAUUUUUCUGUUGGGCCCAGGAAACCAUGCCGAUUACCGACCGAGCUCUCAAUGGAAAAAUGCAGUCGGCGUGAACCACGCACGAACACAGCAGAGAAAGAAGAAAACACACACCACGAGGAACCCUAAUAGGACAAUACAUUAUAAGCCUCAUGGUACAUCCACUUGGUGUGCUGGGAGAGUCAGGAUGAGGACCUGAGAAGAACAGCAGCUUGAACCUGACUUCAUUUAACAGCCCACUGCCCUCUUGCCAAGAACCCAUCACAGACCUUCCCAGAAGAGAGGGAUGAGCCUCACCUAUGAAUAAGUCCUCAGAAACUCAAAUUUGAUUCUAAUGGAUUGUUUUCUCAGAAAGACUGAGCAUGUCCCCCCACAUCUCUGUCAUUUCCCACAGUAGUAACCUCUGCAGAUGCCACAUAGAAAACAAAACAAAACAAAAAAACAUGAGGUUGGUGGGCAGAUAGGCAGGGUAUAAACAAACAGCCUUGUAACCCAGAAGCUGUGUGAUAUACAGUAAACUUCACAACACUGAAAAGAUGUCCUAUCUGUUAAAAUGGGGUAAUAACAACUACCCGAAUGUUUAGGAAUAGAACUUCAAUAAAUGAUACAUUUUAUAGUACAGCAGACCAUCCUGUAAAGGUUUCAUCCUUCACUGUGGUGAUAAAUAUCCCAAACCACAUUGAAAAGCAUUGCAUCUACAUUUAUCUACACUGUAACUGUACUGUAAAUCAUGGGGGAGGGGAGAAUCAUAAAAACACCACCUGUCACCGUGUCAUUAAAGCAAGUUGGAAGUGAUACUUACAGAAACACAGCAAGAGCACCCCCAGUCACACAGUUCAAUCUCUUAGCAAGCGUUUUCUUUCUAGCCCAGUGGUUCUCAGUUUGGAAUUUUUGGCACUGCCUAGAGAUAGUUUUGUUGUUAAAACUGAGAAAAGAGCCGGGCGUGGUGGCACACGCCUUUAAUCCCAGCACUCAGGAGGCAGAGGCAGG
rnacentral:lncRNA from 1 species